rnacentral:rRNA from 1 species
UACGUAGGGGGCAAGCGUUGUCCGGAAUCAUUGGGCGUAAAGCGCGCGUAGGCGGCCCGGUAAGUCCGCUGUGAAAGUCAAAGGCUCAACCUUUGAAUGCCGGUGGAUACUGUCGGGCUAGAGUCCGGAAGAGGCGAGUGGAAUUCCUGGUGUAGCGGUGGAGUGCGCAGAUAUCAGGAGGAACACCAAUAGCGAAGGCAGCUCGCUGGGACGGUACUGACGCUAAGGCGCGAAAGCGUGGGGAGCGAACAGG